rnacentral:rRNA from 1 species
UACGUAGGGUGCAAGCGUUGUCCGGAAUUAUUGGGCGUAAAGAGCUCGUAGGCGGUUUGUCGCGUCUGCUGUGAAAUCCCGAGGCUCAACCUCGGGCUUGCAGUGGGUACGGGCAGACUAGAGUGCGGUAGGGGAGAUUGGAAUUCCUGGUGUAGCGGUGGAAUGCGCAGAUAUCAGGGGGAACACCGAUGGCGAAGGCAGAUCUCUGGGCCGUAACUGACGCUGAGGAGCGAAAGCGUGGGGAGCGAACAGG